UCAUUAAGAAGCUAUGAACCAGCGCUAGCCUUUUAAGCUAGAGAAAGAGGAGCACAUCCCCUCCUUAAUGAU
rnacentral:tRNA from 1 species